rnacentral:rRNA from 1 species
GACGAUCGCUGGCGGCGUGCUUAACACAUGCAAGUCGAACGAAGAGCGAUGGAAGCUUGCUUCUAUCAAUCUUAGUGGCGAACGGGUGAGUAACGCGUAAUCAACCUGCCCUUCAGAGGGGGACAACAGCUGGAAACGACUGCUAAUACCGCAUACGAUCCAAUCUCGGCAUCGAGGAUGGAUGAAAGGUGGCCUCUAUUUAUAAGCUAUCACUGAAGGAGGGGAUUGCGUCUGAUUAGCUAGUUGGAGGGGUAACGGCCCACCAAGGCGAUGAUCAGUAGCCGGUCUGAGAGGAUGAACGGCCACAUUGGGACUGAGACACGGCCCAGACUCCCACGGGAGGCAGCAGUGGGGAAUCUUCCGCAAUGGACGAAAGUCUGACGGAGCAACGCCGCGUGAAUGAUGACGGCCUUCGGGUUGUAAAGCUCUGUUAAUCGGGACGAAAGGCCUUCUUGCGAAUAGUUAGAAGGAUUGACGGUACCGGAAUAGAAAGCCACGGCUAACUACGUGCCAGCAGCCGCGGUAAUACGUAGGUGGCAAGCGUUGUCCGGAAUUAUUGGGCGUAAAGCGCGCGCAGGCGGAUUGGUCAGUCUGUCUUAAAAGUUCAGGGCUUAACCCCGUGAUGGGAUGGAAACUGCCAAUCUAGAGUAUCGGAGAGGAAAGUGGAAUUCCUAGUGUAGCGGUGAAAUGCGUAGAUAUUAGGAAGAACACCAGUGGCGAAGGCGACUUUCUGGACGAAAACUGACGCUGAGGCGCGAAAGCCAGGGGAGCGAACGGGAUUAGGUACCCCGGUAGUCCUGGCC